rnacentral:SRP_RNA from 1 species
GCUGGGUGUGGUGGUGCAUGCCUGUAAUCCCAGCUACUUGGGAGGCUGAGGCUGGAGAAUUGCUUGAACCCAGGAGACGGAGGUUGCAGUGAGCUGAGAUUGCACCACUGCACCCCAGCCUGGGUGACAAGAGCAAAAUCCUGUCUCAA